rnacentral:rRNA from 1 species
GAUGAACGCUGGCGGCGUGCCUAAUACAUGCAAGUCGAGCGAACGGACGAGAAGCUUGCUUCUCUGAUGUUAGCGGCGGACGGGUGAGUAACACGUGGAUAACCUACCUAUAAGACUGGGAUAACUUCGGGAAACCGUAGCUAAUACCGGAUAAUAUUUUGAACCGCAUGGUUCAAAAGUGAAAGACGGUCUUGCUGUCACUUAUAGAUGGAUCCGCGCUGCAUUAGCUAGUUGGUAAGGUAACGGCUUACCAAGGCAACGAUGCAUAGCCGACCUGAGAGGGUGAUCGGCCACACUGGAACUGAGACACGGUCCAGACUCCUACGGGAGGCAGCAGUAGGGAAUCUUCCGCAAUGGGCGAAAGCCUGACGGAGCAACGCCGCGUGAGUGAUGAAGGUCUUCGGAUCGUAAAACUCUGUUAUUAGGGAAGAACAUAUGUGUAAGUAACUGUGCACAUCUUGACGGUACCUAAUCAGAAAGCCACGGCUAACUACGUGCCAGCAGCCGCGGUAAUACGUAGGUGGCAAGCGUUAUCCGGAAUUAUUGGGCGUAAAGCGCGCGUAGGCGGUUUUUUAAGUCUGAUGUGAAAGCCCACGGCUCAACCGUGGAGGGUCAUUGGAAACUGGAAAACUUGAGUGCAGAAGAGGAAAGUGGAAUUCCAUGUGUAGCGGUGAAAUGCGCAGAGAUAUGGAGGAACACCAGUGGCGAAGGCGACUUUCUGGUCUGUAACUGACGCUGAUGUGCGAAAGCGUGGGGAUCAAACAGGAUUAGAUACCCUGGUAGUCCACGCCGUAAACGAUGAGUGCUAAGUGUUAGGGGGUUUCCGCCCCUUAGUGCUGCAGCUAACGCAUUAAGCACUCCGCCUGGGGAGUACGACCGCAAGGUUGAAACUCAAAGGAAUUGACGGGGACCCGCACAAGCGGUGGGGCAUGUGGUUUAAUUCGAAGCAACGCGAAGAACCUUACCAAAUCUUGACAUCCUUUGACAACUCUAGAGAUAGAGCCUUCCCCUUCGGGGGACAAAGUGACAGGUGGUGCAUGGUUGUCGUCAGCUCGUGUCGUGAGAUGUUGGGUUAAGUCCCGCAACGAGCGCAACCCUUAAGCUUAGUUGCCAUCAUUAAGUUGGGCACUCUAAGUUGACUGCCGGUGACAAACCGGAGGAAGGUGGGGAUGACGUCAAAUCAUCAUGCCCCUUAUGAUUUGGGCUACACACGUGCUACAAUGGACAAUACAAAGGGCAGCGAAACCGCGAGGUCAAGCAAAUCCCAUAAAGUUGUUCUCAGUUCGGAUUGUAGUCUGCAACUCGACUACAUGAAGCUGGAAUCGCUAGUAAUCGUAGAUCAGCAUGCUACGGUGAAUACGUUCCCGGGUCU